rnacentral:sRNA from 1 species
UACUUGCGCGUUAGGGAUUGAAAUGAAAAUCCUUUUUGUGAGGUACAAACAAAAAGAUUGUAAUGUAAAGCCCGACCCUUG